GGGUGCGAUCAUACCAGCUCUAAUGCACCGGAUCCCAUCAGAACUCCGCAGUCAAGCGUGCUUGGGCGAGAGUAGUACUAGGAUGGGUGACCUCCUGGGAAGUCCUCGUGUUGCACCCC
rnacentral:rRNA from 1 species